rnacentral:rRNA from 1 species
UCCCAACGGGGCGGGAGGGCAAUGUGGUGUUUAGGAAUAGCGCGACCGAAGGUUGAUCUAAGCGCAAGUCCUCCUGACUGGGGCUCUCGCCCAUCGAGGGUGCAAGGCCCGCCGUCGCUUAUGAUCUCCGGCGGAAGCAAAAUUCCUUGGAGUCGGGUUGCUUGAGAGUGCAGCCCUAAGUGGGUGGUAAACUCCAUCUAAGGCUAAAUACGACCACGAAACCGAUAGCGAACAAGUACCGUGAGGGAAAGUUGAAAAGAACUUUGAAGAGAGAGUUCAAGAGUGCGUGAAACCGUUUAGAGGUAAACGGGUGGGCCCUCGAAGGUGAUCGUCGGAGGGAUUCAGUCGGACGUGACCGUAAGCGUCGUUCGUCUCUAACGGUGCGGACCUCGGUCGGCCGGGCGGGCGAAGGCUGCGGGCCGUUUGGCGCAUUUCCUUCCGUUCGAACUACGCUGCGACCAGUCUGGUCACUGAAAGUUGUCGUCCUUGAAAACGGGCAACGGAAGGUGGCCGGCGGCGUCUCUCGGGAUGCCGUCGGUGUUUAUAGCCGGUUCGUUUCACGAGUGAGCGUUCAUCAGACUGGGGACGAUUCUAGCCCUGUGCGGGCUACGCCGAGCACUCCGUUUCUCGGAGCGUUGCGGGGCGACUGGAUGCGCCUGCGGUCGGGAGUUUCACCUUUGCGUGGGCUAACGCCGUAGGUCUCCGUAAGCUCGUUCCGUACUCGCCGUUGCUCAGGUUCCCGCGGACCUCGCGUUCGCGGGCGCACCAAGGGCCCGUCCCGGUCGCCUCGUCGACGGGGCGGAUCGGUCCUAAGGGAUAGGAGAAAUCCGUUCCGAGGCGGGACAUAAUUUAUUAUGAAAGUCCCGCUGAUGACCGAAAGGGAAUCGGGUUAAUAUUCCCGAACCCGGACGCGGAGAUCGUCCUCUUCGGAGGUACAUUGCGGUAACGCAAACGAGCUCGGAGACGUCGACGGGAGCACCGGGAAGAGUUAUCUUUUCUUUGUAAGGAUUCGACUCCCUGGAAUCGGCUCGCCCGGAGAUAGGGAUGGUGUUUCCGUAAAGCUUCGCACGUCUUGCGGUGUCCGGAUCGCUCCCGUCGGCCCU